AUGCCUCCCAGGCCCUGCUCCCCACCCCCGUUCUCAGCAGCCCUGCCCUCUGCCCCCUCCCCACCCCAGCCUUCAGGCCCUCACCAGCGGGUACAGUUCCAGGUGAGCACAGUCCCCGCGGGAAGCUCCCGGGCCUGCUCUUCAAGGGGCAAGGUCAGCCCCCACGGCAGAGAGAUCUGGGUGCAGGGGCACUCAGCGGGGGGCACACACGUGCCAUUGUGCAGCAGCUGGGGCAGUGCAGUCUCCGGUUAUAAUCAGACCCACUUCUCCCCAUGCACACCUGCCCGCUCCCGCUACGGGGGUCAGGACACGGCAUCUGGAUGUACCUGCUGUCCAGGGCAGCCACAGCCCAGCUGGCAGGGUUCCUGUUCACAGAGGGCGCCAGGCUGCAGGUGCGAGCAGAGGCGCGGGCACGUGGAGGCACAGGCUCUGAGCACCUGGCCAGGUAGGCAGUCUGGGGGGCGCGCACGGACAGUGAGGUGGAGUCCCGGGGAAGGGACUGCCUCACAUUCGUUCCCCUGCCCUGGUGAAUGCACGCCAGCUGGGACGGGGGGCCUGAGCAGCACUAGAGGGAAGGGCGGGUACCCGCCACCCCAGGUGCUCACCAGGGCAGGGCUGCAGGUUACAUUCCUGCCGUUGCUCUGUGUCCCGGGCCUGGCAUGGUACCCCCGCAGGACCCUCCUCACAGCUCCGAUGUCGCUCCAUAGUGCCCCCGCCACAGGGAGCAGAGCAGCUGCUCCACGCCGACCAGGGCCCACGGACCGGGCACUCGUGGUGUGGGCACAUCAGGGACCCGUUGAUACAGGUGCUGUGAACAGGGGUCCAGGGCACGAGUCAAGGGGAACAGAGCCUUUGUUGCCCAGUAAUGCCCAUAACCCUCACCUGCCCCAAGCCUCCUACCUAAAGCUCCCCAGCGCCCCCCACCGGCCACCAGUGGGCAGUCAUACCAGUUUUUGCAGUCCAGCUGUGCCACCUCGGCUGGGGCCACCACCCAUGAGGCAUUGGGGCUGGGAAGGCCACAGCGGCAGGAGGAGAUGGGCACACAGUGCCCAUCCUGUAUCAGUUGGCCAGGUGGGCAGCGGCAGCCUGGGGGGGGUGGGGAGGACAAGCAGGAUUCGGUUCUCAGCCGGCACACACAAAGGAUCCCUCUGGCAGCCAGACGGAGUCCAAAGCCUCAGGCUGACACUGGAGCCCCCUCCCCUCACCUCCACCCCCAGUCCCCAUUUGACUUGGUCUCCAUGCUGUUUCCACCGCUGGAGCACAGGAAGGGGGCGCUGUAGCCCACCCUGUGUGGGCACCACCCCAGGAACCCUUGAGGCUGCCUGA
rnacentral:lncRNA from 1 species